UACAGAGGGUGCAAGCGUUGCUCGGAAUUAUUGGGCGUAAAGGGUAGGUAGGUGGUCUCGUUUGUCUGUGGUGAAAGCCUUGGGCUUAACCCAAGAAGUGCCGCAGAAACGGCGAGACUAGAGUUCUGGAGAGGGUCGUGGAAUUCCCGGUGUAGCGGUGAAAUGCGUAGAGAUCGGGAGGAACACCAGAGGCGAAAGCGGCGACCUGGACAGAUACUGACACUCAACUACGAAAGCGUGGGGAGCAAACAGG
rnacentral:rRNA from 1 species